GUAGCAGUAGCUCAAUGGUAGAGCUCCCGCUUCGUACACGGGAAGAGUUGGGUUCGAUUCUCGGCUGCUCUC
rnacentral:tRNA from 1 species